UACGUAGGGCGCAAGCGUUGUCCGGAAUUAUUGGGCGUAAAGAGCUCGUAGGCGGCUUGUCACGUCGAUUGUGAAAGCCCGAGGCUUAACCUCGGGUCUGCAGUCGAUACGGGCUAGCUAGAGUGUGGUAGGGGAGAUCGGAAUUCCUGGUGUAGCGGUGAAAUGCGCAGAUAUCAGGGGGAACACCGGUGGCGAAGGCGGAUCUCUGGGCCAUUACUGACGCUGAGGAGCGAAAGCGUGGGGAGCGAACAGG
rnacentral:rRNA from 1 species